rnacentral:rRNA from 1 species
GAUGAACGCUGACAGAAUGCUUAACACAUGCAAGUCAACUUGAACUUCGGUUUGGGUGGCGGACGGGUGAGUAACGCGUAAAGAACUUGCCUCACAGAUAGGGACAACAUUUGGAAACGAAUGCUAAUACCUGAUAUUAUGAUUUUAGGGCAUCCUAGAAUUAUGAAAGCUAUAUGCGCUGUGAGAGAGCUUUGCGUCCCAUUAGCUAGUUGGAGAGGUAACGGCUCACCAAGGCGAUGAUGGGUAGCCGGCCUGAGAGGGUGAUCGGCCACAAGGGGACUGAGACACGGCCCUUACUCCUACGGGAGGCAGCAGUGGGGAAUAUUGGACAAUGGACCAAGAGUCUGAUCCAGCAAUUCUGUGUGCACGAUGAAGUUUUUCGGAAUGUAAAGUGCUUUCAGUNGGGAAGAAAAAAANGA